UUACGACUACAUAUCAGGCAUAUCAAUAAGCGGAGGAAAAGAAACUAACAAGGAUUCCCUAGUAACGGCGAGUGAAGCGGGAAGAGCUCAAAUUUGAAAUCUUCAAGGUUCUACCUUGACGAAUUGUAGUUUAAAGAAGUGUUUUCUGUUAGAGGAGUAGUAAAAGUUCUUGGAAUAGGACAUCAUAGAGGGUGAGAAUCCCGUAUUUGGCUAUUCUUUCUAGCUUUGUGAUACACUUUCAAAGAGUCGGAUUGUUUGGGAAUGCAGUCCAAAAUGGGUGGUAAAUUUCAUCUAAAGCUAAAUAUUGGCGAGAGACCGAUAGCGAACAAGUACCGUGAGGGAAAGAUGAAAAGAACUUUGAAAAGAGAGUUAAACAGUACGUGAAAUUGUCAAAAGGGAAGCGUUUGACACCAGUGUUGUUUAGUUGAAAAUCAAUUCAAUAGUUUUUGAUUCUAAGUAGUAUUGACUUCAUCAGCUUGCUGCUUUCUUCUCAGAAAUUAUUGAAUGCACUUUUCAGUUAACAAGUCAACAUCAACUUCUUUUGUUGUAAAAGGGUAAGAGGAAGGUGGCUUGCGCUUCGGCUCAAGUGUUUAUAGCCUUUUAUCUCUGCAAUCGGAGAGAUUGAGGUCUGCAGUGUAGAUCCUUCGGGGUUAGAUACAUUGGUGCUAAGCUAUAGCCUUGUAUAGACAACCUGUUGACUAUGCUCAGUCAUGUAGCUUACUCGCUGAUGCUAUUUUACCUACGCUUAGGAUGUUGAUCUACAGAGCGAGAGU
rnacentral:rRNA from 1 species